rnacentral:lncRNA from 1 species
CUGAAAGAGCGUAUGAAGUUUUAAACUGGACAGUGUUUUAGGAAGGCAUGAUUACGGUUGGACACAAGAGAACCUCUUCAGGUCCCAUAUACCUGGGAGCUCUGUGACAGCUUGUUAAUACUGAGGGUCAGAUGGUUGCCAGGGAUGUUUGCUUGCUGUCCUGAUCUCUAAGGAAGAGUGCUAUCAUUUGGGAAGACCACAUCAGGAAUGAGUAGACUACGUGGUGUGCAUUGCUAGGUGAACCAAAUUAGAGUAGCAGCUGGGAAGAGUGGGCUGGAGAUGUUGGCAGACUGUGGCAAAAGUGACUUACCAACCGAGUGGUUGGCAUGCCCAGGAGGACAUGGUGUCUAGAGAGAAGACAUCUUUGCAGAUACACCUGUGUUCUGCAUGUGUGCUAAGAUUAGCUGUUUGAGGAGCAGUGAAUAGACUCCUGGAGUGAGUGAAUUCAGUGUGUUAAGCUCCAUGGCUACAGGCAACACUGAUCACACUGCACAGCAGUGGUUUCAUCUUUCACAGGAUCUAAUCUGACUCAAAACUUGUGACAAACUGUUCAGUAAGGGGCAGGGCAACCUCUUAAUCAGCAUUAGCAGUGGUGCAACAUUGAACAGCAAUUACUUGAAGAAUUUCUUUAUGAGAGUCAUCAAUCUCAUGAGAGUCAUCUUGCCAUCUGUACCAGCAUUGCUCCAGGCUUCCAUAUGAAAGUCCAAUCUGGCGGUAUAAAUACUGGAUAAUGAAGAGUAGGUGUUAAAGUUUCUGACUGGAAGAAGAGUCUGUGUCUAGGAAGGAUCUGAAUUUUUGUGUUAAACAAACAGAAUCUAUGUUAACAU